rnacentral:rRNA from 1 species
UAGUCCACGCCGUAAACGAUGGAUACUAGUUGUUUGGUUUUCGAACUGAGUGACUAAGCGAAAGUGAUAAGUAUCCCACCUGGGGAGUACGUUCGCAAGAAUGAAACUCAAAGGAAUUGACGGGGGCCCGCACAAGCGGUGGAGCAUGUGGUUUAAUUCGAUGAUACGCGAGGAACCUUACCAGGGCUUAAAUGUAGUAUGACAGACUGAGAGAUCGGUUUUUCUUCGGACAUAUUACAAGGUGCUGCAUGGUUGUCGUCAGCUCGUGCCGUGAGGUGUCAAGUUAAGUCCUAUAACGAGCGCAACCCCUGUUGUUAGUUGCCAUCGAGUAAUGUCGGGAACUCUAACAAGACUGCCGGUGCAAACCGCGAGGAAGGUGGGGAUGACGUCAAAUCAUCACGGCCCUUACGUCCUGGGCCACACACGUGCUACAAUGGUCGUGACAAAGAGUUGCUAGUCUGCGAAGGCAAACCAAUCUCAUAAACGCGGCCUUAGUUCGGAUUGCAGGCUGAAACUCG